UGGCGAACGGGUGAGUAACACGUGGGUAACCUGCCCAUCAGAAGGGGAUAACACUUGGAAACAGGUGCUAAUACCGUAUAACACUAUUUUCCGCAUGGAAGAAAGUUGAAAGGCGCUUUUGCGUCACUGAUGGAUGGACCCGCGGUGCAUUAGCUAGUUGGUGAGGUAACGGCUCACCAAGGCAACGAUGCAUAGCCGACCUGAGAGGGUGAUCGGCCACACUGGGACUGAGACACGGCCCAGACUCCUACGGGAGGCAGCAGUAGGGAAUCUUCGGCAAUGGACGAAAGUCUGACCGAGCAACGCCGCGUGAGUGAAGAAGGUUUUCGGAUCGUAAAACUCUGUUGUUAGAGAAGAACAAGGAUGAGAGUAAAACGUUCAUCCCUGACGUAUCUAACCAGAAGCCCCG
rnacentral:rRNA from 1 species